rnacentral:rRNA from 1 species
UACGGGGGGGCAAGCGUUGUUCGGAAUUACUGGGCGUAAAGGGCUCGUAGGCGGCCAACUAAGUCAGACGUGAAAUCCCUCGGCUUAACCGGGGAACUGCAUCUGAUACUGGAUGGCUUGAGUUCGGGAGAGGGAUGCGGAAUUCCAGGUGUAGCGGUGAAAUGCGUAGAUAUCUGGAGGAACACCGGUGGCGAAGGCGGCAUCCUGGACCGACACUGACGCUGAGGAGCGAAAGCCAGGGAGCA